rnacentral:rRNA from 1 species
CUACACAAAACCCUUCAACAAAACUAACUGAGCCGAGUAUAACCAAAUCCCGCAAAUAUACGUGUUGCGUCUCGUAUUAGUAGUGGGUAGGGGUUUAUCUAUCUUUUUAGCUGACCUCUGUCUGGCCCCGGCUGUCGUCUACUUGUAGCGACUCGGCCGGCUAUCCUUACAUCUUUUGUGUCUACACUUACCCCCGCUGGCCUCAAGAAAUUGGGCUGACUUACUGCAACGAAUAAUUAUCUGUUCGUAUACAACUCUUUGCAAUGGAUAUCUUGGUUCUCGCACCGAUGAAGAACGCAGCGAAAUGCGAUAUGUAAUGCGAAUUGCAGAAUUCAGUGAAUCAUCGAAUCUUUGAACGCAAAUGGCACUCUCGGGAUAGUCCUGAGAGUACGCUUCUCUGAGUAUCGAUUUCAUCCUACUCUCAGCCCCCAACCCCGUGUUGGUGUGGACUGGAAAAUGAGUGUCCGGUUGUGUACAACAACUGGUUGCUUGAAAUCUUAUGGACAAACAGGGCGUGUGUUUGCAAGCAGUGGUUUCCAAGUAUUGCUUUCGUGGCGAUCUGGUGCUGAUUUAGCAUGUCAUUAGUGCGGUGCAACAAGGGCUAACAAACACACUGAGCCAUUCGAUAAGUUGAGUGACUUCGGCCGUGGUCAAUUAUAAUGUGCUUGUUCCCUCUCUCAUCAUUGUAUUGUGAUCGCGUAAUGGUGUCAUGGUAUAUGGUGGCAGUACGAAUUCGUGUGUUUGGUUGAUUCAUGUGAGCUGUUUUCAUCCCCAACCCUUC